GCGGACGGGUGAGUAACGCGUGGGAACAUGCCCAAAGGUACGGGAUAGCCUCGGGAAACUGGGUGUAAUACCGUAUGUGCCCUUCGGGGGAAAGAUUUAUCGCCUUUGGAUUGGCCCGCGUUGGAUUAGGUAGUUGGUGGGGUAAUGGCCUACCAAGCCGACGAUCCAUAGCUGGUUUGAGAGGAUGAUCAGCCACACUGGGACUGAGACACGGCCCAGACUCCUACGGGAGGCAGCAGUGGGGAAUCUUAGACAAUGGGGGAAACCCUGAUCUAGCCAUGCCGCGUGAUCGAUGAAGGCCUUAGGGUUGUAAAGAUCUUUCAGUGGGGAAGAUAAUGACGGUACCCACAGAAGAAGCCCCGGCUAACUCCGUGCCAGCAGCCGCGGUAAUACGGAGGGGGCUAGCGUUAUUCGGAAUUACUGGGCGUAAAGCGCACGUAGGCGGAUCGGAAAGUUGGGGGUGAAAUCCCAGGGCUCAACCCUGGAACUGCCUUCAAAACUCCCGGUCUUGAGGUCGAGAGAGGUGAGUGGAAUUCCGAGUGUAGAGGUGAAAUUCGUAGAUAUUCGGAGGAACACCAGUGGCGAAGGCGGCUCACUGG
rnacentral:rRNA from 1 species